UCGGAGGUGAGAGCUGUAGAGAGAGGCCAGGAACCCCCAACCAAGCAGAGAAGGACAGAGCAGAGGGAGAAAUGGGCGCCCGAGUGGGACAGAUGUCCUUGGGGAGGGCUGACACCUGGAUGGGGAGGGACGGCUUCCCUUUCCUCCUGGACUCACGGGCUCUGGGGCUGGGGCUCUGGGGGCCCAGUGGCGGCGGAGGCGGCAGUGGCGGCAGCUACAGCAGGCAGCCCGAGUCCAGCUGUUCACUUACUGGCUGCUGUGAGACCUCUGCCCGAUGACUUCCAGUCCUGCAGCCACCUCAACCUCUGCAUCUGCGGAACCCGAGCGCGGAUUCCUGCUUCUCCCAGCUUGUUUGUUUUCAGUUAGGUCCCUUCCCUUGGCUUUCCUCCCCUCUCUCCCCUAACCAGAUGUGGAGUAAGGCAGGGGAGGGCCUAGGUUCUGACAGCAGCCAGCCCUGGCCUCAAACCUAGGUGCUUCCUCUUCCUGCUACUAUGACUACCCUUAUGACGUGGGGACAAGGGACUCCACCCCUGUGAGGCUCAGUUUCUUCAUCUGAGAGAUGGGGGUGACAGAUCUGCGUGCAGGGGAGGUUGGGAUCAGGCUUCCAAGAGGGUCCAUUUGGAAAGAGCAGACUGCAGGGGAGCUCAGCAAAUGUGCCUCCGCUGGUAUGAUCACCCCUCACUCCCUCCCUCCUCCAGUUCCCCUUCAGUGCAUUUGGGGAGAUGUUCUCUCCUCGCCUCCUGAGUCCCAGUGGAGACAGACUCCAAGGGGUGGGCAGGAGGAUUAAAGACGUCGGCUGAGCUCUCCUGCUUUCCAAGGCUGCACUCCACCCUUCGUCUUAUUAGAACAAAGCCACGUCCCACAUUAAAGAUACAAUGUAUGCUUCAUUACAAGAUACAAUGUAUGCUUCACUACAAGAAAGUAAACUGCAGUUGGCUAGUGGAAAGAAUGUUACGUUUUAUGGACAUUGGAUUAAAUGGUCAUAAAUGUU